rnacentral:rRNA from 1 species
CCCUCCAUAGGACACGACUCCUCGCACUGUAUAUAUACUUUCGUCAUCAUCAAUAAAGGGAAGGGUUCGAGAUUACUGUUCAUCAUUGAUUCUCUCUCGAUCUCAAUCUUAACGCGUUAUCAGCACGCUCAACCAUGAGCAAUUGGACUCCAGCGCUGAGAAUCGAAAUAACAGAGGAAGGAGGAGAAGAACAAGCAGCGGACGACGGACGACGGUGGACUAGCGGCAAGUCGGCGACCCCUCUGCACAGCAAGGUGAGCCCAAAGCCGGUGUCGCUACGGCGAACUGCGGCGCCAUCUGAAACUCUGGCUCGGCUCCAAGCGGUGGGCGGCGGACGUCGUCCCCGCUGGCGCCGCUACUCCCUGAGGAAACGGCGCCCUCAGCGGCUGCCGGCUCCGGGCGACUCCCGCCCCGGCGCGGAGCGGUUCCCGCUGCGUGAACGGUGGUGCGGCUGCGUGCACACGGUGGAGCAGCGGUGUCUGUCGGCGGUGGCCCUUCGGCGCGGUGGAAUGGCCUUGUCCGGCCCGGGGCAUCAGGCAAUUCCAUAUGUCGCGGCGAGGCGGCGCGGUCCCUAGCCCGGCGGAGGCAGCCCCGACGGCAGACGACGGGAGCGCGCCAUGGCGGCCGUGCGGGCGUUGUCCCAGUAGCGGUUGUGGGAGAAAUCCCUUCCAGGAUGGAGGAUAGGGAACCUUAUCCUCUGCCAUGUUUUGAUAAGGUCCCUAAUGUUUAACGAUUUGCAGAAUCAACCAAAACCAGUUUCUAGGGAGAUUUUGCAUCUGAAACUCGAAAGUUUUAGCAUAAACUGAAGCUUGCUCUGACUACUAUUGCCAUUUAUUAGCAUUUGUCAUGUUUAGGCCAGAUCUGCAUUUAAAUUAUUUCUGUUGAAUUUAAAAUUCCAGAGAUACAUGGUUGUUAAUGCUUGACAUGUUCAAUUUGUUUGCUAAUUUAAGCUUUCGGGAACAUGUUUUAUCG